rnacentral:rRNA from 1 species
GACGAACGCUGGCGGCGUGCUUAACACAUGCAAGUCGAGCGGUAAGGCCCUUUCGGGGGUACGACGAGCGGCGAACGGGUGGAGUAACACGUGGGUGGACCUGCCCUCCAGCUCUGGGAGUAAGCCUGGGAAACCGGGUCUAAUACCGGAUAUGACUCCAUGACGCAUGUUGUGGGGUGGAAAGCCUUGUGCGGCUGAGGAUGGGCCCGCGGCCUAUCAGCUUGUUGGU